rnacentral:rRNA from 1 species
CCUACGGGAGGCAGCAGUGAGGAAUAUUGGUCAAUGGGCGGGAGCCUGAACCAGCCAAGCCGCGUGAGGGAAGAAGGUACAGCGUAUCGUAAACCUCUUUUGUCAGGGAACAAAGGCGGGGACUAGUCCCCUGAUGAGGGUACCUGAAGAAAAAGCAUCGGCUAACUCCGUGCCAGCAGCCGCGGUAAUACGGAGGAUGCGAGCGUUAUCCGGAUUUAUUGGGUUUAAAGGGUGCGCAGGCGGCCUGUUAAGUCAGCGGUAAAAGCUCGGGGCUCAACCCCGGCGAGCCGUUGAAACUGGCGGGCUGGAGUUGGAGAGAGGUAGGCGGAAUGCGCGGUGUAGCGGUGAAAUGCUUAGAUAUCGCGCAGAACCCCGAUUGCGAAGGCAGCGUACCGGCUCCACACUGACGCUGAGGCACGAAAGCGUGGGUAUCGAACAGGAUUAGAUACCCGAGUAGUC